UACGUAGGGCGCAAGCGUUGUCCGGAAUUAUUGGGCGUAAAGAGCUCGUAGGCGGCUUAUCACGUCGGGUGUGAAAGCCCGGGGCUUAACCCCGGGUCGGCAGUGGAUACGGGCAGGCUAGAGGUAGGUAGGGGAGAAUGGAAUUCCCGGUGUAGCGGUGAAAUGCGCAGAUAUCGGGAGGAACACCGGUGGCGAAGGCGGUUCUCUGGGCCUUACCUGACGCUGAGGAGCGAAAGCGUGGGGAGCGAACAGG
rnacentral:rRNA from 1 species